UACGUAGGGGGCUAGCGUUGUCCGGAAUUAUUGGGCGUAAAGAGCUCGUAGGCGGUGUGUCGCGUCGGCCGUGAAAACCUGUGGCUUAACUAUGGGCUUGCGGUCGAUACGGGCAUCACUGGAGUUCGGCAGGGGAGACUGGAAUUCCUGGUGUAGCGGUGAAAUGCGCAGAUAUCAGGAGGAACACCGGUGGCGAAGGCGGGUCUCUGGUCCGAUACUGACGCUGAGGAGCGAAAGCGUGGGGAGCGAACAGG
rnacentral:rRNA from 1 species